rnacentral:misc_RNA from 1 species
UUUUGUGGCUCUACAUCACCUGGUGAUAUAGGAUGUUAUGAUUCAGUUUUGUAAUUUGAAAUCACAGCUUUAUCAUCAAAGAAUUGGAUGUUCAUCUGUGAUGGACAAAAUAUACUAGCCUUUUGUCUCACAGUCAGGAGGACAAAAAAGGAGUAGAAGGUUGGAGCUUUGUACAUGUUUUUGCUACACAUUAGUGAAAUUUCUAAUUAUAUUUGCAUUUUCAUUCUUCUUGCUUGGUCUAAUAUCAAAUAAAUUCAAAAUUAUAUAGAAAACUUUAUAUUUGUAUCAGUUUUAGCCUGUCCAAGAAAUUAUGUGCUCCAAUCAACAUUGAACUUGUAGCUCUAUCUUUUUUGUCAUCAAUGCACUUCUCUCUCUAGUCUUUUUGCAUCUCCCUCAGUCAAUUGCAAUUCUCCCUAAUCUAUCAUCAUCUGCAUCAGUUUCACCUUAUAUCUAUAUUAUUAUUGCUUACUCCAACUAUAUUUUUG